UACGGAGGAUGCAAGCGUUAUCCGGAAUGAUUGGGCGUAAAGCGUCCGCAGGUGGCUGUGUAAGUCUGCUGUCAAAGAGCGAAGCUCAACUUCGUAAAGGCAGUGGAAACUACACGGCUAGAGUGCGUUCGGGGCAGAGGGAAUUUCUGGUGUAGCGGUGAAAUGCGUAGAGAUCAGGAAGAACACCGGUGGCGAAGGCGCUCUGCUAGGCCGCAACUGACACUGAGGGACGAAAGCUAGGGGAGCGAAUGGG
rnacentral:rRNA from 1 species